GAGAACCACUAUUCACGCUUGUAGUUACUGAGAUUCCGAAAACCAGCUCCCUCACGCCGGUGGUGUCAAGCGAAUGCGCCGCUGGAAAAGUUGAUUUCCUCGAUCGAACACGACGCUGGAAAAGUUGAAGUCGAUCCAGUACCGUUGCCGAAGAAGACGACUCCUAUUGCCCGUCACUGGAACAUUAUUGUGCCCACUUUUUUCCUUAAUCGUUGCCGGAGAAGACGACUUGUUGUCGGCGCCGGAGUUGUCUAUCAUUUUCUAUGCAUUUUUUAACACCGACUUCUUGAUUUAUCUGCAAGUGGGUUACUAAGAUUUUAAUAUAAUAUUUUUUAGGGUUUUGAUUUUUUUAGUGUUUUUCAUUGCUUUAACUAUGGACACGAGCCGAUCGUUCGUCAGGCCAUUGAUCUCGUUGAUAACCUCUGCGGUUCUGAUGAUCCCUCUGUUUCUAGCGAUUUCAUUGCUCGGAUUACUGAACGUCUUUCUUCUUCUGCUUUGUCUUGAAGCCGUCGACAUGUCUACUCGGCGCAUAGAUCUGUGUUUUCAAUCUCCAUCCAGCCAUUCUUUCUGGCCAAGUUUGUGUUUGAAUCCCAGGACUCGGUGAAUAACCACCCUGAACCAGAAACCUACCUGGAUUUCUCAUUCACCAUCCAACCUUUCUGGGAAACCAAAGGUAACAAACACUAAAACUGAGCCAAAAGUCAAGUGGGUUGUUAGACUAAGCUCAGCAGAACCAAGCCUCCCACCAAAUUCAAUGAUUGAAGGGAAUCCGCUACUGGAUUUCGUGAAGGAGGAUUUCAUGCGUAUCUUUGAUGAUUAAGAGCUUGCUCGAACGAUGUACGACGAGUUCAUCAUAUACCGAGAUCUGGUCACCAAGCACAACACCCUGGGUGGUUUUCUUUUCAAUCUGGCACUCUUGAAGACGCUUCUCCGGUCAGAGUUUCAGUUGCACAACGUCAAACAAGUACUCCCCUCUCUUGUUACUGAUUUAAUUUCUGUACAAGACGAUGCCAAAUUUUUAAUGUUUUUUAAGCUUACUAACUUGGCAUUGAAUUGUUGAGUCGUUAUACAGGGUCACUUCAACCCGAAUUUCUUAAGAACAAAAUGAAGAAAGAAUUUCCACCUCCGA